UUCCGUCCACAGAUCUGAGCGCUCGUGCUGCUCGCCCUCCCGUCGCCGUCCUCGUCUAGUUCUCCUCCUAUCUCACUGGCCGUCGCCGGACGCCAUGGAUGGUGCAUGCUAGUGGGCUAAUUCCCUCAAGCAUCCCCACAAAAUGGAAACAACUCUGCAUCUUCUGAUCCAAAAAUCAAGUCAAAAGUUCAAACUUCGGCCCUGUUCGGCAGACGUCCACUCCCCGCUUUUCAACUCCCAGCUCCAUCCAAAAGCGGAGCACACGGAGCGGCACUUUUGCAACUCUGAAAAAGUGGCCUACAAGCCGCUCCGCUCCACUCUGAGAGAGGCAUGGAGCCAGCGCGUUCGGUGCCACUCCGCAGCUCCUCGAGCCGCUCCAGGAGCUGAGCUGCGGAGCGGAGGCUUGCCGAACAGGCACUUCACCUUGAUUGCAAGAACUAUUUUUGAAGAUAGCUACUCGGUCAUCUAAAAUUUCAACACAGUUUCUCAUUCAAAUUUCAAGGUAUCAUGAUGUAGGAGUCCAAUUUAUGAGAGUGGCGAAGUACCUGAUGUGGUGCACAACUCUUUGCACUGUUAAAAUAAUGGGAGGUGCCCAACCAAUGGCAUCCGUACGUCUGAUGCAUUGCUAGCUGAUCCAUCAUGCCAUUGGUCACUUUCUACUCAUUCACAAAUUAAGCUGCAACACUCCCUCCAAUUAUGAUGAUGCCAUUCGGUUAUGAAGCAUGUGUGCAUGUACUCCCUCCGAUAAAUUUUUAGUUGGCAUAUAGCUUCUUCCAGAUUUUUCCUCAAUACUUGCGCGCAAUGUUUUUUGUAGUUUUCUUUUCAACUUUACCCCUCCAC